GUCCAGGGAAACCCCUGCUUUGUUCCCUCUGGACGCAGUGCGUGUGUGCUGGCUGCCCAGCCUCAGCUGUGUCCUGUGGAGUUUCCUGGACUCACGAGAAGCCCCGGACAAGUGUAUUAGGGGCAUCCCAGGGAGGGCCGACCAAGACUGGCAGGAAGCCGAGGGAUGGAGCGGUCACCGAAACCUAGCUUGGACUGUGCGGCCUGGGAGGGAAUGAGGACGGACUUUCCACUUGGCUGGAUUUGACAGAGAUUUCAGAAACAAAAGUCACGUGAUACUGAGGCCAUUUCGAUUUUCGGAACUUGGACAUUGCUGCCAUUUUCAGUUGUUUAAAGUAUAUCCCACUGGAUGGUCCAGAGUGUGGCUCCAGAGUCACACAGCCACACACCCACUGACUGCAUGGCCUUGAGCAAGUUACUUUACCUCUCUGAACCUUGGUUUCGUCCUCUAUAAAAUGGGAUGGUGGUACUGCUCCUAAGGCUGUGUGGGCAUGCAGAAGUUUACUACGCCAGCUGCCUAGCCAUGGCCAGCCCUAGGUAAAUGAUGGUCUCCUCUCUUCCCUUCAUUCCCCUAGAGCUUGGAUGGGGCUCUUAGUUGGGCUUCUAUUCUGGCUCAUCUCCCGGAGACUCAUGGCCUGGACAUAUUCCUUGCACCGCCUACCUUUCCUCCGGAUGCAGGUGGUGAGUGAGGCCACCUGUCAGAUCCUCUGGUGAAAGAACCGCCCCAGUCAAUCAGAAGCCCAAGAAUGAUGUCAUCGCCACCUUCUGCUGGGGUUCCACAUCUGGCUGGUUACCAUGGCGAGCAAUUGCUCAGAGGACAGCCCAAAGAGAAACACUGUAAGGAUGGAAAGUCUAGGCCAGCAGGCCCAGGGGAGAGGCGUGGGAAUCCCAGGGCUCGGCCCCAGAAACCACUGAGACCCAGGCCCCUCCUACACACACUGCAUCUGUCCCACCCCUAGGGCAGCCCCGGAGCAGCUGAGGAGCCACAGAUAGCACGCCAGGACCUGGGCAAGAGAAGCCGUUCUCGAUGGGCGCCUCUCCACCUCUGCCCUGUGCUGCUGUCCUUAGAGCGCUGGCCCUGAUCCGCCUGCCUGUACCCUUGCCAGGGAUCCACAAGUCACCUAAGGGGAAAUGACACGGUGCUGAGUGUUCCCUGUCAGAGGCUGCCAGCCCAGUGGAUCAUCACGAGAAACUACACACGCAAGUCCGCAGUCACCCCUGGCCACAAAAACACCCGACUGUGAAGGGAGUUGAAGAGUCACACUGGAGAGGUUUGAAGACAGAGGCCACGUCGGGGCAGGCCCUGGAAACGUGUUUUCAGGGGGUUCUGCCAUGGCCGGCGUGUGGGUUACUGAGCCGUGUUACGCAGUCUCUGGAAGGCCUGGCCCCACGCAGUCCCAGUGCCAGGACUGUCGCUUGGACAGCGCGCUCCCUCGUGGUCCCCUUCUGCCCACGUGGAGCAGCAGUGGCUCUCAAGAGGCCAUCCAGCCCAGGGUUCAAAAGCCCCGUCAUUUCAGCUUCAGCAACAACCUCAGUCGGUCUGGACCCUGCUUGUGUCCGUCUCCUGCCCAUCUCCACCUCCCGGAGGACCCUCCAGCCACAGAGAAGCACCCUCGCACUUCCCAGAUGGGCCCUCCUUCCGCCCGCAGGUCUUUCUUCCCCAUCGCCCCCUCUGUCCACGUCAGGGCUGUGUUAAAGCCACUGACAUGUCACUGGAAAUGCACGGAGUUGGGAAAAUUGCAUGGACUAGAGCUUCUCUUGGGGAGAACACUGCAUGUGGUUCAAAGGAAGUCUUGGACAAGACACUCAGAGAGGAGUACUCAUCCCAGUGCUCAGCCCAAAGUGUGUCCCCUGGAGUGUUCGUGAUGGCCGCAGGGGCUCUUAACCUGAGUCAGCAGAGGACACCUCAUUACGCCCACACACGGCCUGAGGUGCACGUACUUAGAGCAGAAAAAGGAAAACAACUCAAGCCAAUAGCUGAACAGGAAGGGGAAGCCCAUGCCUCCUGUCUAAGGACUGGGAGCUGCGGGUUUGGCGACGCCUCCAGGAGCAAAGGCUGGGAGGCAGUGGCUCCUGCAGCACAGCGCUCUACCCUGAGCUGGUCCUUUUUUGGGAACCUCUGAAUCUUAGGUUUUCAGUCCACAAAAUGGCAACUCAAAACCUGCUGAAAAUAUGGGUCUCAGGAUUAAAAGGGAUGAGACAGGGGUUAUAGGGUCUCCCCGGGAAGAACAAGCUACAAAGCACCCCUCGUGGGGCGACCUGAGGUCCCGUGGGUGGGGCGGGACUCCCAAGCUUGAAGAGGAGAGGGUUUUUCUGUGGGAAAGGUGAGGUUGGGGAAGGCCAGACAGGAUCCUGGACAUGCCAGACCUGCCUUCUCAGGACCCCAGGGCCCGGCUCCUGGACCUGGCAACACAGGCUGGCCACACCCAAGACAAGGUUUCUCCUUCCAAACCACACCCCCCCACCCCACAUCCUGGCCUGACCUCAGGGACAGAGGGACCUGAUCACUCAGAUUCCUAUUAAACUUCAGGAGCUGGAGCUGCAGAGAGGGAUCUGCGUGUUCACCUACACACCUCACGCUCUGACCCCAGCACCGGGGGAGAGAGGCUUUGGGGCGGGGCUGUCCUUCUGUCUGGGGCUCAGGAAGUGAGGGAAUGGGGGAGCGCUGGCCAGGAUGCUGCUCCUGGUGAGAUGGCUCUGAAUACGGGUAAGUCCCUGAGGAGAGGGACCUGAUGGGGCCUCGGCCCUGCUACCCUGUGUUAGAUUCUUAUGGUCACUGUAACCAAUUACCACAAACCUGAUGAUUUUAAACAACAGACCUUUAUUCUCUCACAGUUCUGAAGGCCAGAAGUCCCCAGUUGCUUUCACUGGGCUGAGAUCAAGGUGUGGGCAGGCCAGCACUCUCCCCAGAGGCCCUGGGGGACAAUCUGUUCCUUUGGUCUUCCAACUCCUGGUGGCUGCCAGCAUUGCUUGGCUUGUAACCCCACGACUCGAAUCUUCAGAUCUCUCUCUGCUCUGUCUUCACAUCGGCUCCUCCUCCUCUGUGUCAGACCUCCCUCCGCCUCUCUCCUAUAAGGAUGCCUGUGAUGGCAUUUAGGGCCCACCCGGAUAAUCCAGGAGAGUCUCUGCAUCUCAAAAUCCUUCACUUAAUCACAUCUGUCAAGACUCUCUUUCCAAACACGGUAACUGUAUUAGUUUCCCAGGGCUGCCACAACAAAUUAGCACAAAUGUGUUGGCUCAAGACAACAGAAAUGUGUUCUCUCACAGUUUGAGGAUGGAAGUCUGAAAUCAAGGUGUCAGCAGAGCCAAGCUCCUUCCAGAGGCUCUUGGGGAGAAUCCUUCCUGGCCUCCUCCAGCUUCUGGUGGCUCCUGGCAUUCCUUGGCUUAUGGCAGCAUCACUCCAGUCUCUGCCUCCAUCUUCACACGGGCUUCUUCUUUGUGUAUCAAACCUCCUUUCUCUUAUCAGGACUUAGGCCCACCCUAAAUGCAGGAUAAUCUCAAGUUGAGAUCCCUAACUUAACUAUAUCUGCAG
ensembl:lncRNA